rnacentral:rRNA from 1 species
GACGAACGCUGGCGGCGUGCCUAAUACAUGCAAGUCGAGCGAGCGGCGGACGGGUGAGUAAUGUCUGGGAAACUGCCUGAUGGAGGGGGAUAACUACUGGAAACGGUAGCUAAUACCGCAUACCCUCAGAUGUGCCCAGAUGGGAUUAGCUAGUAGGUGGGGUAACGGCUCACCUAGGCGACGAUCCCUAGCUGGUCUGAGAGGAUGACCAGCCACACGGGAACUGAGACACGGUCCAGAAUCCAACGGGAGGCAGCAGUGGGGAAAAUUGCACAAGGGGCGCAAGCCUGAUGCAGCCAUGCCGCUGGUGAGAAGAAGGCCUGCGGGUUGUAAAGCACUUUCAGCGGGGAGGCGUUACCCGCAGAAGAAGCACCGGCUAACUCCGUGCCAGCAGCCGCGGUAAUAC